GAAUGAUAGGUGUAACGAAAGGAAAACAUAGAUUCCAAUGUUUCUCAUCUCCAAUUAAAGUUAAAAUAUAAUUAAUGACAAAAAAACAUCUCAAUGACAGCUAUAUAUAUAUAUAUAUAUAUAUAUAUAUAUAGAAUUAUAAGAAGAUAAUAUAAUUAAUAAUACAAUUCUAAACGUGUAGCACAUAAAGUACAAAAAUACUUCCUCUUAAUAUUGAAGCACAUAGGCAAAAAGCAAAACUUCCAUUGAAUCUCAACAUCCAUGGCUUCAACCUUACCUCCACAGUGAGGACAUGAUCCAGUAGCUUUUUGCCUCCCAAUUUCUUUCUCCUCCUCAUCACACACAUACAUGAACCAAUUUUUUUUCAUGCAACUUCUUCUUGUUUAAGAUGUUGUUGUUGUUAUUGUUGUUGAUGAUGAUAUCGGUGUUGUUGUUGAUGAUGUUGUAGUUGUGUUUCUUGUCUUGUUUUUUGUUUGAGAACUUGUUGGGUAUGUUGGUCUAUAGAUAGAGUUGGCAAUUGUGAAAGGACAGUCCAUAGGGGCAAGGUGGAAUUGUGCUUAUAAAAUAUUGUUGUGGUUGUUAGUUGACAUAAUUCAAUGGAAUAUUCUCUUGGAUAGUUUCAAUGCCUUGUUUUUCUUCUCAUUUUUAAGGUAACUUAUUAAUAUUUUGUAUUUGUGAGAAAAAAAAAUU
rnacentral:lncRNA from 1 species